AGCGAACGCUGGCGGCAGGCCUAACAUACGCAAGUCGAACGAAGUCUUCGGACUUAGUGGCGGACGGGUGAGUAACACGUGGGAACGUGCCUUUAGGUUCGGAAUAACUCAGGGAAACUUGUGCUAAUACCGAAUGUGACCUUCGGGGGAAAGAUUUAUCGCCUUUAGAGCGGCCCGCGUCUGAUUAGCUAGUUGGUGAGGUAAAGGCUAGCCAAGGCUACGAUCAGUAGCUGGUCUGAGAGGAUGACCAGCCACAUUGUGACUGAGACACGGCCCAAACUCCUACGGGAGGCAGCAGUGGGGAGUCAUGCGCAAGAGGCGAAAGCCUGACGCAGCCAUGCCGCGUGGAUGAUGAAGGUCUUAGGAUUGUAAAAUCCUUUCACCGGUGAAGAUAAUGACUGUAGCCGGAGAAGAAGCCCCGGCUAACUUCGUGCCAGCCGCCGCAGUAACAC
rnacentral:rRNA from 1 species